UGAGUGAUUCAGGCUAUUUUCCUUGAUAAACAUGAUGGGCUCCAUGUUGACCUGUAAAGGAUGGGAAAGUAGAUUGUGCUACCUCAUUUGCCACUGCGGAAGCAACCCAAACUCCACCUGGGACCACUCAUCUCCUUACCAUCUUCAGCUGCAGGAAAGCAGUGUUUGGAGGGAUUUAGCAGUUGUGGACCAUGGUUUCUGUUUCAGAUGGAUUAGGUGGCAAGAGUUUGGGGGUAAGCCAGGAAGAAGUUGUACCCUGAGGACUGGAAAGCAGAGGCACCAGGAAAAGCUGAUGUCUAGCUGCAAUUAAGGUGCUAAAAUCCAGAGUGUUGCAGAAGGGAACACUUUAUUGCACUAAGGAGCAGAGCUGGAGUGAAAAAAAAACAAUGGAAGACAGCAGAGACCAAAAAAUGUAAGCAUCAGGAUUUGGAAGAGGGUGAGGUAUGGGAGGAAAUGGAGGCUUGAGUUGUUUAACUUAGGAAUUCAAGAGGAAAUGGAGUAGUGGUGCAUCUCUUCUUUACAGAAAGUCAGGAAGUACAGAUCAAUAUAUGAGAUCUGAAUUUGAAGGAAGACUGAAUUCCUAGGGAAUUCUAGAAGGCUCUCCAUCAGCUGAUACUGAUUAUAAGAUGGAGCAAACUUCAGAAGUGGAUGUUUGAAAGUGGUGUGGACUGACUUCACCUUCUAAAUGAGAAAGUGUACCAGCAGAGAACUUGGAUUUGCGAUUAGAGAAUACCUUGGUCACAUCAACACCUACUGAUGACUCCUUCAUUUAAACCUAGAUAUUUAUGAAGGCCAGCACCAUCUUCUGGAUACAGCUUACGUAGAACUACUUGGGUGACUUAAUGCAAUUUAGUUUGGUGGAAAAUACCUGAUAUAUGGUUUAUCUUCCUUGCUCUCUCACUUCAGGAAAAAAAGUGCAUAUCACAAGUCUCAAUUACUCUUUCCCAUAUUCUGGCUGGAAUAACUUGCACAAAAGGUCUCCCAUUCACUUGCUUUAAUUUUUUUUGAUGGGAGGGUGUCAGCUCUCAUAAGAUAUUGCUAAACUUGAUCCAAAAUAUAUCAGUUCCUAAAAGACAGCGUAGUUAGAGCUGAUGAUUCUGGCUGAUGCAUUACUCUCAGGACUUUCAGCAUUUCCCUUAAUGGAGAAAUAUUCAGCAAAUUGCAAAGUGUUGGCAGGCAUCUGGCUGGAAGUUUCUUGAUCAACCAGAGAAGAAAGAGUACAUUCCCACCCAUCUGGAGGGAGUGAGUGAUCAAUUGUGCGAUGCUGAACUGUGGCUGGGUUACACCACUGCAGCCCCUGCCCAUGGCAG
rnacentral:lncRNA from 1 species